CAUUCUGUAGACGUUCAUGUUAAAAAGUAACCACGUAACUCAUAUAAAUGAUUGUAAUAUUUACAUCUCACUCAUACCACAUGGACCAUUUCAAGUUAAAAAUAUUUAAGCUUCUAAAUUUGCAAGUGCUAAGCUGCAAAAUAGAGACUGUUUUCUCCCUGGGACAAUGAACAUCUGCUGAAACGAUUUGUCCAACAGAGCAUUUGCCUCUGCAGGCCUUUUUUUUUUUUUUUUUUUUUUAAGAAAUGGAAAAAAAGAUCAUUGUUUAACUUCAACUCUUCUCAUCUUCUAAACCAAGAAACAGUUUCUCUUGGGACUAGAUGUUUCUAAGAUUUGGAAAAGUAAAGGGGCCUCAGCUUAUUAUUUACUUUUUCCUAUUUGCAAGUAAGGGCUAGCUCCACUUACGGUCGGUCACAAGAUGGCUGCCUUAUCUCUUGGUGUCAUAUGUAGAUGCCACAUCCAGUGGCAUAACAAGGAUUCUGUGGCAUAACAAGGAAGAAGGUGGAGGAGUGGUGUAUUGGUUUCUCCUCAUUCAUGAGAUGUGAGCCUCAACUGAUUUGUACCAAGUUGUGGAACAGUUAUUACUUGUAUUUCUGCUAGAAAGUUCUCUGCAGGAUAAAGGCAACAGUAAGUCAGCGAGCCCAAGCCGACACUUGUUUUGACGCGGUGAAGAGAAGCGCUUGGCCUUUCCACAGUUUUUCUGUGAGAGAAGUUAACAGGAAACAAAGAUCGCUAACAAACAAGCAAACAAAUCUCGCCCACUCCGCAGGCUAAGGCGAGGGGGACCCAGCGCCCGGCUCCGCGCGCCCCGCGCCCCGCUCCGCCCCGCGCGCCCCCGGCCGGAAGGGGGCGUGGG